rnacentral:tRNA from 1 species
GCGUCGGUGGUAUAACGGUUAGCAUAGCUGCAUUCCAAGCAGUUGACUCGGGUUCGACUCCCGGCCGACGCA